rnacentral:rRNA from 1 species
AGUGAACGCUGGCGGUAGGCCUAACACAUGCAAGUCGAACGGCAGCACAGUGAGAGCUUGCUCUUACGGGUGGCGAGUGGCGGACGGGUGAGGAAUACAUCGGAAUCUACUUUUUCGUGGGGGAUAACGUAGGGAAACUUACGCUAAUACCGCAUACGACCUACGGGUGAAAGCAGGGGAUCUUCGGACCUUGCGCGAUUGAAUGAGCCGAUGUCGGAUUAGCUAGUUGGCGGGGUAAAGGCCCACCAAGGCGACGAUCCGUAGCUGGUCUGAGAGGAUGAUCAGCCACACUGGAACUGAGACACGGUCCAGACUCCUACGGGAGGCAGCAGUGGGGAAUAUUGGACAAUGGGCGAAAGCCUGAUCCAGCCAUACCGCGUGGGUGAAGAAGGCCUUCGGGUUGUAAAGCCCUUUUGUUGGGAAAGAAAAGCAGCAGGUUAAUACCCCGCUGUUCUGACGGUACCCAAAGAAUAAGCACCGACUAACUUCGUG